UGAAAAUCUAAAGGUCAGCUAUAGUAGAGUCAUGAAGCAAGCUCCAAUUAAUAGAGAUGGCCGAGUUGCAAGGGUUACCGAAUAAAUUCUUGCAGAAGGCAUGAAGCUUAGAGGCAAUGUCCCCUUGAUUGGUGCAUUCAAUUCCAUCAUACAUGAGUGAGGCAAAGGGGGUUUCUUCUUUCCCUUCCGGAUGCAAUUUUGUGAAAGAAGGAUG
rnacentral:lncRNA from 1 species